GGCAUCUCAAAACUGAGGCGCGGUUGCCUAGGGAAAUCCUUACGAGAAAAAGUCGGGGAGAGCAUUGGUUUCCAGAAAGCUCCUGGGACUUGAAUCAGGAAGUUGCCAGUGACCUUUGAGAAGAUGAUGCCAUCGGUACAGCAGGGGAAAUCCAGGUAGGUAGUCAUUGCAACAGACCCUAUGGGGACAAUCUGAAUCCAUGACUUUCCAGUAAAGACAAACAGCCCUGGAGCGUCUGUCUACCUCAGUGUCACCGAGUUCCUGGUACUUCCUGAGUGCUUCGUAACGUUUGAUGUCAAAGUGUCAACCGCAACACUCAGCUACCAUUCUAACCCCUGGAGUUUGGAGACUGCAAAUGGUUUGCCGUCAGAGAAGGGACAGGGGCGGACAAGACGGCUCAGUGAAUAAAAGCCUUGGCCACCAGUCCUGAUGACCUGAAGUUCAUCCUCCAGACCCACACAGUGGGAGGCGAGAACCGACUCCUUCAAGGCGUCUUCUGACCCCCUCCACACGUGUGUCAUGACGCAUAUUCCCCACCCUUCUCCAAUAAAUAA